CCCUAGUAACUGCGAGUGAAGCGGGAAAAGCUCAAAUUUAAAAUCUGGCGGUCUUUGGCUGUCCGAGUUGUAAUCUAGAGAAGUGUUAUCCGCGCUGGACCGUGUACAAGUCUCCUGGAAUGGAGCGUCAUAGAGGGUGAGAAUCCCGUCUUUGACACGGACUGCCAGGGCUUUGUGAUGCGCUCUCAAAGAGUCGAGUUGUUUGGGAAUGCAGCUCAAAAUGGGUGGUAAAUUCCAUCUAAAGCUAAAUAUUGGCGAGAGACCGAUAGCGAACAAGUACCGUGAGGGAAAGAUGAAAAGAACUUUGGAAAGAGAGUUAAACAGUACGUGAAAUUGCUGAAAGGGAAACGCUUGAAGUCAGUCGCGUUGGCCAGGGAUCAACCUUGCUUUUGCUGGGCGUACUUCCUGGUUAAUGGGUCAGCAUCAAUUUUGACCGUUGGAUAAAGGUUAGGGGAAUGUGGCAUCUUCGGAUGUGUUAUAGCCCUUGGUCGCAUACAACGGCUGGGAUUGAGGAACUCAGCACGCCGCAAGGCCGGGUAUUUAUACCACGUUCGUGCUUAGGAUGCUGGCAUAAUGGCUUUAAUCGACCCGUCUUGAAACACGGACCAAGGAGUCUAACAUGCCUGCGAGUGUUUGGGUGGAAAACCCGAGCGCGUAAUGAAAGUGAAAGUUGAGAUCCCUGUCGUGGGGAGCAUCGACGCCCGGACCAGACCUUUUGUGACGGCUCCGCGGUAGAGCAUGUAUGUUGGGACCCGAAAGAUGGUGAACUAUGCCUGAAUAGGGUGAAGCCAGAGGAAACUCUGGUGGAGGCUCGUAGCGAUUCUGACGUGCAAAUCGAUCGUCAAAUUUGGGUAUAGGGGCGAAAGACUAAUCGAACCAUCUAGUAGCUGG
rnacentral:rRNA from 1 species